CAGAGAUGUAAAGCUUGCAGCAGAUCACCUUGGAGUGCUUUGCCUUCACGUUUGCCUUUGUAGCAGAUGAACAAGAUAGGUAUUCAGGUGGCCAGUACAAUGUCAUUGUCCGCCUUGAGGGACACGUACGGUUGCGUCGAAGACCAUCACCAGAAGGGACGGGAAUUAAUGGGAUGAUAGCUUUCUGCAUCACGAAAUCAUCUAUGUUUGCCAGUGAUAAAUGCCGCGCGAGGAUCAACCAGUGACAUUCAUGUUGAUUAUUUGCUGCUUUUAUGCGUUACUGGCUAUCAGUUAAUUUCCUGAAACCGUGCUAACUGAAACUAAUCAGUCUGUGUGCUAGUAACAAAUUGGUGACCGAA